UGGCCGAUCGGCGGUGCAGCGGAGGCGCAAGCCGGGGGCCCGGGUCUGCGCGGGGCGGGAGCUAGCAGGGACUUACCGGCAUGACCGUGGAUGUGGUGGUAGCGACGCCUGGGCUGGCUCUGAGCUCUAGCGCCGCUGUGCUUCCGGGGCUGGGUGCCGAGAAGCGCCGCCCCUCACGCGAAACCCCGCCCCCUUCGCCGCGGCCCGCAGUUAGGCCCCGCCUCCCUGGCCGCGCGGCCGGGAGCCGCGGGACCGCCGUUGGCCGCCACUCACCCUUUGAGCGGGCGGGGCUCUGGGAUUCCGCACGCUUCUGCAGCCCCCGGGGCCAGCCUGCAACGCCUACAGACCACGUUUAGACCACCUGCUCAGUCUCAGGCCUGUAUUAGGGGCUGGGAAUACAAGGACCCGGCAGUGAACACGACAAACCCCACACCUCCCUAAAAAGGACAAACAUUUCUUGACUCAGUCAAUAUUGAGUUGAGUCCCAUCCGUGAGCCAGCACUGUGUGCUAGGUAUCCAAGGCGCAGUGGUGAAAGAGACAGCCUGGCAGGGAGCGGAGGAAGCAGGCGAUGAAAAUGCAGUGUUAAAGGGAUGGACGGUAUCACGGGUGCAGAGAAAGGAUCUCGAACUGGAGCCUGUUGGGGGGCGGGAGAGGGGUUCUGGCUGACAGUAGGUUUCAGGAGGAGCUAAUCUGAGUCAAGGACGGAGAGUACACGUUUAUCUGAUGAAGGAAGAUGAGCUAUUUGGGAAGGAGGGAGGCAGAGGGGACAGCAAGUACAAAAGUUGGAAGACAAGAGUGGGCAGGGCUUGAGAGGCAGUUAUUCAGACUGAGAGGCAGGGACAAAGAGAGGUGGAGAAAUGAAGCGACAAGGAUAUGAGACCCACAGCCAUGGGUGAAGACAGAUGAAGGCAGAGAUGCUCUAGGACACUAACAGAGAAACAGGCAUGGCAAGACUCAGAACUUCAGUCACAUACACCCCUCUGCACACACACAAGCAUCGGGGAGGACUUCUUGGAAUAUCCAAGGAAUUUGCUAGAGGAGCCCAGUCUGAGUUACUAGUUUCAAUGUUUAUUUUGAGAGAGAGCGAGAGAGAAAGAGAGCAAGCCACACAGGUGCACACAAGCAGGGGAGAGGUAGACAGAGAGGGAGAGAGAGAAUCCCAAGCAGGCUCUGUGCUGUCAUUGCAGAGCCCAACUGGGGCUCAAUCCCAGAGAGAUCAUGACCUGAGCUGAAACCAAGAGUCAUGUGCUUAACCGACUGAGUCACCCAGCCUCCCCCGGAGUUAGUAGUUUCAAAGCUGUCUCAUCAACAGAACUGCUUGGACAGCCUACUAAUAACCCAGAUUUCUAGGCUUCAUCCUAGAUUCACUGCCCCUUAAUUUCAAGGUUCAAGAACAUGAAAUGGAAGGGAUAAAUCUAGGCCACUGACUCACGCCAGCUCUGAAUGAGGAGGUCCACUUCCAGCAUGCCAACUGUGCCCUGGCCAAUGAGUCAGAAGCAGAAGUCUGCUACAAGGUUUCUGGAAAGCUCUUGCUUUCUUCACAAGGGGAACAGAUACCACUCCUUUCCCCUUCCUGACCAGAAUAUUGAUGUGAUAUCUAGACUGUAACCAGGAAAGAAAUGCCAAGAGAAUCACAGAGACGCUUGUUCUGACUGUGUGCUCACUCAACCAAUGCCCACGGCAGCUUGCCUCCAGACUUGGUUUCACACCCAGCCUGGGGCCCAAUGUGGGGUUUGAACUCAUGACCCUGAGAUCAAGACCUGAACUGAGAUCAAGAGUCGGACGCUUAACCACCUGAGCCACCCAGGUGCCCCAGUAAUCUCUGUUUUGAGGAUCAAAGUUUCCAUAUUUGUAUUAUGGAAAAUGUAUAUGUAUUAAAAUCUAUCCUUAACACUGAAUUUCUUUUGAAAAAUAAUACAUGUACAUGUUUAAAAAAUUGUCAGUUCCCAAGGGUACUUUGGAUGAAUGAAAACUAAGCUGUUCUCCCACCCUGGCCCAAGUUCACCUCGUUAACAAUCAUUAACAGUUUCUUAUGACUCCUUCCAGACAUAGACAUAACCUGUGCAUGUACAGCAAAACCAUCCAGAUAUGUGCAGAGAUAACUAGAGCAAUAGAGUAUACCUUAAUAGAAAUAAUCGCCCCAUGGCAUUGGUUCCCCUUCCUUACUCUUUCCAUUUCUGCACUUUGCUUUCUCCAUCUACUGGUAUCUCUUGGAAAUUGCUCUGUGACUGUACACAUAGAUCUGCCUCAUUUUCUCUAUGGCUGCAUGACAGUCCACUGUAAGAGUGCAUUGUACUGCAGUACUAUACCUAACCAGUUCCAUACAGCUCUAGAUUUGGGUUGUUUCCUCUCUUUCUAGUAGGAGCAGUGCUGCAAUCCAUGUUAUUACAUUAGAGCUUUGUUCGCAGGUGAGAAUUUAACAGUGAAAGAUACACACAGGCAUGUAUUUUUAAUCGCCCUUCAUAAGUGAUUAGCUAUGUUUGGGAAAAACUGAUCCACUUGAUAUUCUUAGGAUCAUUCCUUUCCUAAUAUUCCCUGUUCCCCAACUUCCUCCACCACCA